AUCCAGCUGACGAGUCCCAAGUAGGACGAAACAAGCGUCCUGGAU
rnacentral:hammerhead_ribozyme from 1 species